rnacentral:rRNA from 1 species
GACGAACGCUGGCGGCGUGCUUAACACAUGCAAGUCGAACGGAAAGGCCCUGCUUUUGUGGGGUGCUCGAGUGGCGAACGGGUGAGUAACACGUGAGUAACCUGCCCUUGACUUUGGGAUAACUUCAGGAAACUGGGGCUAAUACCGGAUAGGAGCUCCUGCUGCAUGGUGGGGGUUGGAAAGUUUCGGCGGUUGGGGAUGGACUCGCGGCUUAUCAGCUUGUUUGUGGGGUAGUGGCUUACCAAGGCUUUGACGGGUAGCCGGCCUGAGAGGGUGACCGGCAACAUUGGGACUGAGAGACGGCCCAGACUCCUACGGGAGGCAGCAGUGGGGAAUAUUGCACAAUGGGCGGAAGCCUGAUGCAGCAACGCCGCGUGCGGGAUGACGGCCUUCGGGUUGUAAACCGCUUUCGCCUGUGACGAAGCGUGAGUGACGGUAAUGGGUAAAGAAGCACCGGCUAACUACGUG